CCCGCUGAACUUAAGCAUAUUAAUAAGCGGAGGAAAAGAAACUAACAAGGAUUCCCUCAGUAACGGCGAGUGAAGUGGGAAAAGCUCAACGUUAAAAUCUGACCGGAUUUUCUGGUCCGAAUUGUAGUUUAAAGAGGCGUCUUCGGUGACACCCGGGUAUAAAUCCCUUGGAACAGGGUAUCAUGGAGGGUGAGAAUCCCGUCUUUGACCCGGAGACUUGUUACCAUUGUGAUGCGUCCUCAAAGAGUCGAGUUGUUUGGGAAUGCAGCUCAAAAUGGGUGGUAAAUUUCAUCUAAGGCUAAAUAACGGCGAGAGACCGAUAGCGAACAAGUACCGUGAGGGAAAGAUGAAAAGAACUUUGAAAAGAGAGUCAAACAGUACGUGAAAUUGUUGAAAGGGAAACGUAUGAGAUCAGUCUUGCGUGCGGGAAAUCAGCCAUCUCUUCGGAGGUAGGUGCACUUUUCUGUACGCAAGCCAGCAUCGGUUUUGACUUGCCAGACAAAGUCCCCAGGAAGGUGGCCCGUUCUUCUGGGCGGGUCCUUACAGCCUGGGUGACGGAUACGGUGGUCGGAACCGAGGAACGCAGCUCGUCCCUUCGGGGCCCGGGAACCUCUGGGGCUCCUGGGCAGCCGUGCUUCAACUGCACGCAGGUGGAGUGCGGGUUCGCCCGGGAUUCCCCUAAAGGUCCACGCAUCGAGCUUAGGAUGCUGGCGUAAUGGUUUCAUACGACCCGUCUUGAAACACGG
rnacentral:rRNA from 1 species